AUCUGACCAUGCUGACCCACAGACUAUCCUUUGGCAUGACCCCAAGGAAUUGGAUAUAUGUCAGAGGAGAUGGGCUAAUCACUUUUCUGCAUUUGUGGGAAAAAUCACUGCAGGCCUUUGGAAACCUAUCACACUUCAACACACCGG
rnacentral:lncRNA from 1 species